UUCUUCUGUACCUGUGCAAGUUAAGGGACAAGGUCGAAAGGCUCAAAGUGGAGGAGAGGGACCCAGGCGCAGGGGAAAGAAACAGGCUUCUGUACCACCUGCUGUUCCUGAUGCUUUAGCUGGUCAGGAUCCAAAAUUAAAUGAGCAAUCACAAAAUAAAUUGGGUGAUCCAAAAUUGAAUGAGCCAUCACAAAAUAAGUUGGGGGAUCCAAAAUUGAAUGAGCAAUCACAUAAUAACACAGGGGAUUCUAUUCUAACAGCUUCUAGCUUUCCAACAACU
rnacentral:lncRNA from 1 species